rnacentral:rRNA from 1 species
GACGAACCGUGCGAACGUUGUUCGGAAUCACUGGGCUUAAAGGGCGCGUAGGCGGGUCGAAAAGUCCGUGGUGAAAUCCCCCCGCUCAACGGGGGAACGGCCGCGGAUACUGUCGGCCUCGAGGGGGGUAGGGGCGAGCGGAACGCUGGGUGGAGCGGUGAAAUGCGUUGAUAUCCAGCGGAACUCCGGUGGCGAAGGCGGCUCGCUGGACCCCCACUGACGCUGAGGCGCGAAAGCCAGGGGAGCGAACGGG